AUACAUAUUGAUUAAAAACAGCUCACGUUUUAAUUUUUGAAUAGUUGUCGCACACAAACUUUGGCCAGGGAGUGGACGACUUCUUUUUUAUUUUGCU
rnacentral:antisense_RNA from 2 species